UCUCUCUCUCUCUACCUCUCUCUCUCUACCUCUACCUCUCUCUCUCUCUACCUCUCUCUCUCUCUCUCUCUACCUCUCUCUCUCUCUCUCUCUACCGCUCUCUCUCUCUACCGCUCUCUCUCUCUACCGCUCUCUCUCUCUACCGCUCUCUCUCUACCUCUCUCCCUAUUCUGACCUAAUCACAGAUCAUUAGUUGCCAUGACAUUGUGAUUGUUUUUUUAUUAAAUGACUGCUAUCAUAGUUAUAUCAGAUUGUUAUCAGCUGGAUGGUGAAGCCACUGUUUUAUGGACCACGUAUUGAUGCAACCCAAAUGCCACCCUGUUUUCUUUAUAGUGUACUUGUUUGUCACAUGUUCUCUCAUCAGAAGAGUGGUUAGGUCCCAAAUGAGACCCUAUUCCCUAUAUAGUGCACUACGUUGACCAGAGCCCUAUUCCCUAUAUAGUGCACUACUGUUGACCAGAGCCCUAUUCCCUAUAUAGUGCACUACUGUUGACCAGAGCCCUAUUCCCUAUAUAGUGCACUACGUUAGACCAGAGCCUUAUUCCCUAUAUAGUGCACUACUGUUGACCAGAGCCCUAUUCCCUAUAUAGUGUACUACUGUUGACCAGAGCCCUAUUCCCUAUAUAGUGCACUACUAUAGACCAGAGCCCUAUUCCCUAUAUAGUGUACUACUGUUGACCAGGGCCCUAUUCCCUAUAUAGUACACUACUGUUGACCAGGGCCCUAUUCCCUAUAUAGUGCACUAAUUUUGACCAGAGCCCUAUGGGGAAUAGGGGGCCAAUUGGGACGCAGCCUCUAUGUGAAACUGGUCAGUUUUUAAAUGUAUGUUUCUGGGGUUCUUAUUGGUUGUCUGUGGUUGUUAUGGUUACCGUCUGGUCCAGUUCAUACAGACUGUUUUGGUUGUUGUUUCUUUGAUCUGACCGCUGUUUCUCUCUCUUUGUGUGGUUUAACUGUCUGUGGUCAGGUUCUGACCAAUCGGAUGGCUCUGUGGUCAGGUUCUGGCCAAUCGGAUGGCUCUGUGGUCAGGUUCUGGCCAAUCGGAUGGCUCUGUGGUCAGGUUCUGGCCAAUCGGAUGGCUCUGUGGUCAGGUUCUGGCCAAUCGGAUGGCUCUGUGGUCAGGUUCUGGCCAAUCGGAUGGCUCUGUGGUGGUGUUGUGACUACUGCUGUUUUAAGUACUCCUGGAGGACCCCUGGUGUUUCUGAUUGAUUAACUUCCGUCCAGCCCGGGAUUCAAUCAAAGGCGCAUUGUGGGUUAUUAGCACACCAAAUUAGACUGUUCAAUCUAAUGUAGACUUCAGCUGACAUCCACAGCGUUUACAAUGAAUACCAUCUCCACGAAGGUCAGAGAAAUGACCUGCUUAAAGGUGCAUUGUGGACAGUGCGCCUUUGGUUGAAUCCCAGCCACGGUCUCAUUCAGACCUGGGACACCAAAUCAUGUAUCAAUUACAUGUCCCAAAAUGGCACCCUAUUCCCUACAUAGUGCACUACUUUUGACCAGAGCCCUAAAAGUAGUCACAGUAUAGAAAAUAGGGAGCCAUUUUGGACAUCCAUCAGUGCUUCCAUCCCAAAUGGCUCGCUAUGUAGUCCACUACCUUUGACCAGAGGCCAAUGGGGAAUAGGAGGCCAAUGGGGAAUAGGAGGCCAAUGGGGGAAUAGGAGGCCAAUGGGGGAAUAGGAGGCCAAUGGGGGAAUAGGAGGCCAAUGGGGGAAUAGGAGGCCAAUGGGGGAAUAGGAGGCCAUAGGGGGAAUAGGAGGCCAAUGGGGGAAUAGGAGGCCAAUGGGGGAAUAGGAGGCCAUAGGGGAAUAGGAGGCCAUAGGGGAAUAGGAGGCCAAUGGGGAAUAGGAGGCCAUUUGGGAGGCCAUUCAGUGUCUGUCAGCCCUCCAGGUCUAGUUUGACCUUACAUCUCCCUGGUUAAAUGGAACUGGAUUCAUCACUCACUGCUUCUCAAUGUUUUAUGGAGUGUAUGUAUAUUAUUAUAUGAUCACAUUUUAAAACAACGUAUGUGUUGACCUCUAAGUACCCUGUGAACUGUUGUGUUGACCUCUAAGUACCCUGUGAACUGUUGUUGACCUCUAAGUACCCUGUGAACUGUUGUUGACCUCUAAGUACCCUGUGAACUGUUGUGUUGACCUCUAAGUACCCUGUGAACUGUUGUGUUGACCUCUAAGUACCCUGUGAACUGUUGUGUUGACCUCUAAGUACCCUGUGAACUGUUUUGAUUGAGAAAAAAAAUACAAAUAAAUAGAUUUGUCAAAUUUGA